rnacentral:rRNA from 1 species
UACGAAGGGGGCUAGCGUUGCUCGGAAUUACUGGGCGUAAAGGGCGCGUAGGCGGAUAGUUUAGUCAGAGGUGAAAGCCCAGGGCUCAACCUUGGAACUGCCUUUGAUACUGGCUAUCUUGAGUUCGGGAGAGGUGAGUGGAAUGCCGAGUGUAGAGGUGAAAUCGUAGAUAUUCGGAAGAACACCAGUGGCGAAGGCGGCUCACUGGACCGGCAUUGACGCUGAGGUGCGAAAGCGUGGGGGAGCAAACAGG